AGAUUGAACGCUGGCGGAAUGCUUUACACAUGCAAGUCGAACGGCAGCACGGGGGCAACCCUGGUGGCGAGUGGCGCACGGGCGAGUAAUACAUCGGAACGUAUCCUAGAGUGGGGGAUAGCCGGCGAAAGCCGGAUUAAUACCGCAUACGCUCGAAAGAGGAAAGUGGGGGAUCGUAAGACCUCACGCCCAAGGAGCGGCCGAUGCCGGAUUAGCUUGUUGGUGAGGUAAAAGCUCACCAAGGCGACGAUCCGUAGCUGGUCUGAGAGGACGACCAGCCACACUGGGACUGAGACACGGCCCAGACUCCUACGGGAGCAGCAGUGGGG
rnacentral:rRNA from 1 species